rnacentral:rRNA from 1 species
UACGAAGGGGGCUAGCGUUGCUCGGAAUCACUGGGCGUAAAGCGCACGUAGGCGGAUUGUUAAGUCAGGGGUGAAAUCCUGGAGCUCAACUCCAGAACUGCCUUUGAUACUGGCGAUCUCGAGUCCGGGAGAGGUGAGUGGAACUGCGAGUGUAGAGGUGAAAUUCGUAGAUAUUCGCAAGAACACCAGUGGCGAAGGCGGCUCACUGGCCCGGUACUGACGCUGAGGUGCGAAAGCGUGGGAGCAACAG